rnacentral:rRNA from 1 species
GACGAACCGUCCAAACGUUGUUCGGAAUCACUGGGCUUAAAGGGCGCGUAGGCGGGUUCCCAAGUCGGUGGUGAAAUCUUUCGGCCCAACCGGAAAACAGCCGCCGAUACUGGGGACCUCGAGGGAGGUAGGGGUCGAGGGAACUUCCGGUGGGGCGGUGAAAUGCGUAGAUAUCGGAAGGAACGCCGGUGGCGAAAGCGCUCGACUGGACCUCUUCUGACGCUGAGGCGCGAAAGCCAGGGGAGCAAACAGG